CUACGGGUGGCUGCAGUGAGGAAUUUUGCGCAAUGGGGGAAACCCUGACGCAGCAACGCCGUGUGAGUGAAGAAGGCCUUCGGGUCGUAAAGCUCUGUCAAGUGGGAAAAAAGUCUUUCGGUGAAUAGCCGGAAGGCCUGAUGGUACCACUAGAGGAAGCACCGGCUAACUCCGUGCCAGCAGCCGCGGUAAUACGGAGGGUGCUAGCGUUGUUCGGAAUUAUUGGGCGUAAAGAGCGUGUAGGCGGCUUGGUAAGUCAGAUGUGAAAGCCCUGGGCUCAACCCAGGAAGUGCAUUUGAUACUGCCUUGCUUGAGUAUGGGAGAGGAGAGUGGAAUUCCCAGUGUAGAGGUGAAAUUCGUAGAUAUUGGGAGGAACACCCGUGGCGAAGGCGACUCUCUGGACCAAUACUGACGCUGAGACGCGAAAGCGUGGGGAGCAAACAGGAUUAGAUACCCCGGUAGUC
rnacentral:rRNA from 1 species